CUGGUUCGCAAAUGCUACCCGAAUCCAAAGCCUUCAUGUACUCCAUUUGGAAGCUCAGUAUUGCUGCAGAAACCUACCUCCUUAACGUUCGGUGUUCCAUCGUAUUUCGAAUAUACUCCGCCACUUCUCCUUCAACCGCGACGGAUGACCGCUCUUGCUUCAUUCAAUGUUGAACGAAAGUUGGAAGGAAAAUGGAAACGAAAUCAAAGAGAGCUCAAUAGAUUGCACAGAGUUGACGGUGAAGAGCGGAGUUGGCGCGUUGCGUUUUGAGAUAAGGCUCGAAGAUCCCGCUCGCGUGUGUUAAGGUGAAGAUGAAGAUUGGAGGAUCUUCGAUUCGUGCCUACUUCCAAGCUCCAAUGCGAUUUCAGUGGAGAUUUAAGGCUUUUGACAAUGAAUAUUUGAGGUUUGUUGAAGAACAAUGAAGUUGUUGAAGAAGAAGAAUCAUGAAGCUCUUGGCAGUAAGGGAGAUUGAAGCAUUAAAGACUCGAAUUCUGUUGAAGAGUGAAAGGUGAAGUUGAAGAUGAAGGUAGAACAGAGUCCAGAAAAAAUCCCUUUUCUUCAGCAAGGUAUACUUUUUAUAUAGUGUUUCUCAUUCUGUUAGAUUUCCAUUCUGUUAGAGCUUGUGUGAGAAGUUUGUUAUUUUUUUCUUGAAAAUGGUUAGAGUUAGUUUUUAUUCUGUUUUGGAUUUAUGAAAUUGUUAUAACCGAAUUCAGUUAGGAUUGGUUAGUUAUUAAAUCUGUUAGUUACAAGUGAGGUUGUGGAGUUAAAAUCGGUUGGUGAUUCUGUCAGCUUGUGAUUAACAAUGUUAACUUUGUUGUGUGUUAUGCUGCCCAUCCUGUUUCUGUUAUGCUCAGUUAGUUAACUAAACUUGGUUAGUAAAAACGGUUACUUGUUAGUUUAAAAUUGGUUUUGUGAUUGUUAAUUGUUUCAAGUGUGAAGGAAAUGACAUUUAGUGAAUUAGUUACAGUUGUGAGAAAUGAAGUUAAUUGGAGAAUUUGGUUAGUUAAAAUGAUAAUGUUAGUUAUAGUUAAAAUGAAGUUGAAAUGUAAAAUUAAAUAUGAGGCUAGCUAAUGAGUCCAUGUGUUAGUGUGAACUGUUUGAAAAAUGAAACUAAUUGUUGUGCAAAUGAAACUUCGUCCUGUUAUUGCGGUUAGCAUUAUUGACACAUGGCCUUGUAAGACCCUAAUUUUGACCCUAAGAUCCCUCAUGCAAUUUCAUCAUAAGCAUUAGCAUUGAGAUCAUACCUUGGCUUCCUCCUUUCCCCUCUUUCAUUGGGUUUGGGAGAAAUCACUAAGCACUUUGUGAUUGUAUCAUACUUGUAUAUUAUCAUUUUACUAACCAAAAUACAAAAAUAUGUCUUUGUAUUUGCCUAACUCUUUUGUAGGUAGGACAUGAUCUCCAUUGAUUCAUCAAGUUCAUAUUUAGGGUUUGAGACCCUCAUGACAAAGAUCACAACCAUGAAUUGAUCCAAGAAUGUUUAUGAGCAUCAUAUAUGAGUUCCAUUGAUUCUUACAUGUUAGUUUGAUCAAGUUUUCUUCAAGAGUUUGAGGGUGAUUUGCCUUGGAAACCCUAGUUUGACUGGGUAUCUUGAGUAACUUCUCCAAAAAUCUAUCUCACCAAUUGAUCAAAUUUAUCAAGGCACACUUCAAAAUUCAUCAUCUUAUGCAUAUAUGAUCUACCAUGAUCCAAGAAAGUCAAAAGAAUUGAAGGUUAGCAAGUUGGUUGAUGGUGGUUGGCCAGAUGAAUUCAUCUGAUCAAAACUGGGUCUCCAAAGACCCUAUCUCCUAACUUUUUCACCAUAUGAAAAUUAUUCCAAGAGAAAAGUUACUCGAAAUGACAUUCCAAAGAACUUUCAUGUUGAAACCUAUAGCUAGUUUUGCUUGAAAGAUCAUUUUCUAUGUUGAAACAUUAUAGGUCAUUUUGUCUAAACCCUAAUUUGAAAGUCAACUUCCCAAGACCAUAACUUGCUCAAUUUGUAUGAGAUGAAAUAUUUCCAAGUUUCACAAUCAAAUUAAAGGUGUCUAAUUCAACUUUGAUGUUUAGAGUGAGAGAUGAUUCAACUUUUA